rnacentral:tRNA from 1 species
GCUCGGUUGGCGGAAUGCAGACGCGCCCGGCUCAAACCCGGGUGCCAGCGAUGGCGUCGAGGUGCGAAUCCUCGACCGAGCACCA